UGAUUAACCGUAUUUAGUCUAGCCUGAG
rnacentral:piRNA from 1 species